GGCAGCAGGAGGAGGUUGAAAACCUCUCCAACGCCCUUGGUUUCCUUUCCAGUCCUUAGCACCAGGUUGAUUUCCUCCAGGCCUCUUCCUGAAAGUUCUGCAGGUGAUGCAGGGCGCUCCAGGAGCGCAGCCGCGCGGGCCGCCUCAGAGAAGAUUCGAGAGGUCGCGGGCCGGGGGGCGGCGUCAGGCGAGGGCGGGUUUCCGCGCUGCUGCCCCCCCGCCGCACCGCCCACCGCCGCGAGUGAGGACGAGGCUGCUGGGCCGCGUCUGUACUCUGGCUCGCUGGGGCCCGGCGGCUCCCAUGUAGCGCGGGGCGAGUUCCUGGAAAGGCUGCGUUCAGGCCGCGUUCGCGCUCUCCGGCCCUGCCCGCGAGGCGGGGACCACCCGCUGCCCAGCGUCCCCCUCGACCAUCCCCGGCUCUGUCCUCAACCCCGGCUGCGGCCAGCGAAAGCGCCCGGGCCUGGGAGGGAGAGGGAGGCCCCUUCCGCCGGCUCAGCCCCCUGGGCGCUGGGCCGGGAGGGCGCGGCCGGGACGUGCCAGGGCCCACGGAGGCCUCCGCCCCACCCCGGCGCGCCGCCUGCAGGGGAGACUGGGCAGGGUGCCCCCCGCCGCCCAGGGAGCUCGCUGAGGGCCACCAGCCGCGCGCAGGGCACUGGCCGAGGGGGCGGGCCGCGAUCCCGGCGCCCGGCAGGCUGUGCCCGCGGCCCCGACGCUCAGGCCUCGCUCCCGGCUACUGGACCGCCCCGUGUCUCGGAUUCCGGGGGUCAGAUCGGAAUCCGGGAGCCAAGUCGAGCGCGCGCACUGGCGUCGGUGUGGACCGCGGGGGAGGCUGCCCGGAGUGGCCCCUGGCGCGCGCCCUGGCACAGGGCCGGAUCCCCAGGCAGACCUGAGCGCUGGGACGAAGGGUGCGUGGCUCGUCCUCGGCCUCCAGUGGCCCCCUCCUUACCCUGGCUCUGUUUUUCUUUUUCUUUUGUUUAUUUUCUUUUUCUUUUUUUUUUUUUUUUUUUGAGACAGCGUCGCUCUGUCGCCCAGGCUGGGGGGGCGGGGCGAGAUCUCGGCUCUCUACAGCUCUAA
rnacentral:lncRNA from 1 species